rnacentral:rRNA from 1 species
AGCUGGGAAGAUAAUGACGGUACCAGCAGAAGAAGCCCCGGCUAACUCCGUGCCAGCAGCCGCGGUAAUACGGAGGGGGCUAGCGUUGUUCGGAAUUACUGGGCGUAAAGCGCACGUAGGCGGAUUGGAAAGUUGGGGGUGAAAUCCCGGGGCUCAACCUCGGAACUGCCUCCAAAACUAUCAGUCUAGAGUUCGAGAGAGGUGAGUGGAAUUCCGAGUGUAGAGGUGAAAUUCGUAGAUAUUCGGAGGAACACCAGUGGCGAAGGCGGCUCACUGGCUCGAUACUGACGCUGAGGUGCGAAAGC